GACGAACGCUGGCGGCGUGCCUAAUACAUGCAAGUAGAACGCACAGGAUGCACCGUAGUUUACUACACCGUAUUCUGUGAGUUGCGAACGGGUGAGUAACGCGUAGGUAACCUGCCUGGUAGCGGGAGAUAACUAUUGGAAACGAUAGCUAAUACCGCAUAAGAACAUUUACUGCAUGGUAGAUGUUUAAAAGGUGCAAAUGCAUCACUACCAGAUGGACCUGCGUUGUAUUAGCUAGUAGGUGAGGUAACGGCUCACCUAGGCGACGAUACAUAGCCGACCUGAGAGGGUGAUCGGCCACACUGGGACUGAGACACGGCCCAGACUCCUACGGGAGGCAGCAGUAGGGAAUCUUCGGCAAUGGGGGGAACCCUGACCGAGCAACGCCGCGUGAGUGAAGAAGGUUUUCGGAUCGUAAAGCUCUGUUGUUAAGGAAGAACGAGUG
rnacentral:rRNA from 1 species